AAAGGGUGCGUAGGCGGCCUGUUAAGUCAGGGGUGAAAGACGGUAGCUCAACUAUCGCAGUGCCCUUGAUACUGAUGGGCUUGAAUGGACUAGAGGUAGGCGGAAUGAGACAAGUAGCGGUGAAAUGCAUAGAUAUGUCUCAGAACACCGAUUGCGAAGGCAGCUUACUAUGGUCUUAUUGACGCUGAGGCACGAAAGCGUGGGGAUCAAACAGGAUUAGAUACCCCUGU
rnacentral:rRNA from 1 species